ACCACUUCUCAGCCUUUUGGCUAAGAGCAAGUAUAGUAUCUGUUCUUAGUUUGAUAAUAAUUGGCAUCAUUUUAUGAGCGCUUAUAGGGGUGCCACAUAC
rnacentral:snRNA from 1 species